AUGGAGUUUCACUCUUAUGGCCCAGGCUGGAGUGCAAUGGCGUGAUCUCAGCUCACCACAACCUCUGCCUCCCGGGUUCAAGUGGUUCUCCUACCUCAGCCUCCUGAGUAGCUGCGAUUACAGAUACAUAGCUCUGGCCAAGAAGUGUGGUUUUGAAGAGCCCAAACUGUAUCUGUUACCUGAUUUCAAAGAAUAUUCCACCUAGGAGAGACCCAGGUCCUGCAGACUUCCUCUGGACACUUUUGGCAGUCAUUGUUCCCAGCUGAUUCUGCAACAGAUGAAGGACGGAGGAUAGAAUCAUGAAUAGCAACAUCUUAAUUGCUGACUGGGUGUUGAUUCUAAGGAUACCCCCAAUAAACAUCUUUCGUGCUAAAGCCCAUUCCAGAAUUUACUUCCCAGCUAUCUUUGAUGUUCAUAUUGUCAGAGGUGGUGGCCGCUGAAACAGGCAAAGACAUGGAGCAUAUCUUGGGUCCAGGACCUUGGGAGUCCAGAGGAAGGUCUUUUUACCAUCAGCAUUCUCUACUGUGUUCAAUGACUGUCAGCCAAAGAUGGCCAGCUUUCCUUCAGAAAGAAAUGCAUUCAAAGAACCUACAUUCACAACAUAAAGAAAUAAAGCACACACAAGACCGCCAAGCAUUAAGAUUCUCCUGUGGAGCCAGGCUACAAUCCUUUAAAUGAAGACAGACAGCUAGGUGGCUGCAGCCCAGCGCUACACCUCACCCCUCCCUCAGUGUCAUGCAGAAAAAAUGUAUUCAGAACUCAGAAGUGAAGUUGUGCAAAUCCAUCAUUGACACUAGCUUCAAGGUUACCUCGGGGGAGCAGAAUGUACCCCUGCCAGAGAGCUGGAUAGAUGAUGAUGGGGACAGAAAUUCUGGGGGAGUUGUAAAUGGCAGCCACUGCCUCUAUAGGAAACCCAAAGGGAACACAGCAGAAGAGGAGGUGGUGGAGGAGCCACUGCCCUCUCGAAGGGUUCAAUGUCAUUCUGCAGACACAACCAAAUAACUUUUUCUUCCCUGCUGCUCCUCCAUUUGAAAUGACAGCCCCGAGCUCGCUUUUUCCUUGAUUGUGUAACUCUGAUUACAGACAAGGCCAAGGCAAUCCCAGGGCAUUACUACAAAGCUAAGGGGUCCCCAAAGAACUAAAGAGUCAGCUCCACAAAAAUCCCGAUUCCUAGCAUGAAACUGAAAUAUGAAACCAAACGGGCAUAGAAAAGGUAUGUGCAUUCGAAUCACAUAGCAGUGACUGGAGUCCUGAGCUGUGUCUGAAGACUGUGAGAUCACGUUUGGAGCUGCUGAUUGGUUUUCAGUGAUGGCCCUGUUGCACAGUGCCGUGAGACUUAGCUCCAUGGCCAAAGACGAUGGUAUCCCCUAGGAGCCCUGUGAGGUUGCUGCUGUUCUCUUAAGACACCAGGUAGCCAUCUGAUCCUCCCUGAGCAAACUAACUGGGCAGACAGGUUUAUUAAACCUCUGUUGGUCCGACUUACAUGAAACAAGAGAGUUAUUUUGUUGUUGUUGUUUUGUUUUGUUUUAAAUUAAACCUGUCUUUGGAGCCUCCUGCUCUUAGUUUACAAGUCUUCUUUGCACACUCUAAUAUUUUAAGAAGCAGCAAACAUUAACUGAGGGUCUA
rnacentral:lncRNA from 10 species